rnacentral:rRNA from 1 species
UACAGAGGUGGCAAGCGUUGUUCGGAAUUACUGGGCGUAAAGGGCUCGUAGGCGGCCAACUAAGUCGGUUGUGAAAUCCCCAGGCUUAACCUGGGAACUGCAUCCGAUACUGGAUGGCUUGAAUCCGGGAGAGGGAUGCAGAAUUCCAGGUGUAGCGGUGAAAUGCGUAGAUAUCUGGAGGAAUACCGGUGGCGAAGGCGGCAUCCUGGACCGGCAUUGACGCUGAUGAGCGAAAGCUAGGGGAGCAAACGGG